AACACCAUUUUGGCCUAUUUUUUUUUAAGAAUCACAUCCCAUUUAUUGAUGGACCAAUGGUCAAUAUAAAUAUGCUGAUAUUUUUGGCAUUCCCAAAUAGAUCAAAUCAGAUUUACAAACCAUUUAGUCAUAUGUUUAUAUAUACAAAAAGUACGCCCAUUUACACAAAGAAGAAAUUUAAAACAAUACUAAUUUAUACAACUAAUAAUAUUCAUACAACCAAUAUCGACAUAUUUAUCGCCUCCAUCCAUGUAGCUGUUUUGUCUCCUCUAUCCUAGCAACAAUUCCGUCCCCUCCAACCUUGUAGCUGUUAUUUCGAGUUGGUUUGGCGCGGCGCAAUUGCCUUGUUUUUCCUAGAAAAAACAAGACAUAAAAUAGAUCGUUAUCCAAAAAGAUGAAAGUACGUUACAUAGAGGCAACUUGGUCAAUAAGCGAAUUCUAGAAAUAAACAGGACUUACUAAUAAUCAGUGGACCAUAAUAUUGUUCCCUAGAAAUAAGGCUGAUUAUACUGACAGACACAAACAGCCCACCAAAGAAGCUCAAUAACUAGUUAUUAUUAAUCAACAAGCACAUGCAUAUCUCGAAAAAUUCUAGAGAAAGGAUGCUUUAUUUUUGGUAUACGCUAAUUGUAGAUUAGCACUAUAGCAUAAAGAAUGGAAAAAUGACCAUCGGAAAUAGUAUGAGCUGAUGCAUGUUAUAAACUGCAAGGAUAAGGCAUGGUUGACGGCUAGCUUCUUCCUGUUUGCUAGUUCAUGUGCGUUAAACUGCAAACACAUAGAGAAGCAAAUCAGAUAGAGGAUAAACUCGCUCCGGCUAGCGGCCUUCCUCCAAAGCAUACGCUGUUGUCUUGAUGAGAAAAUGAUUUAUGGAACAACUAAAUGCUUUAAAAAAAACUUUAGAUCCAGACAGAGACAAGAAAGGGGCGUGUGAUCUACCUGCAGGAGCCUCGAUUCGUUGUCCUACUCGCGCGCGAUUGAUGUCGUGCUGGAGUUGAAGUUGGGCCACGGAACUGCGGAUGAAGUUGAGCCACGGUGGAGAGUGAGGGAAAGCACAGAGCAGAGGAAAGAAAGAAGAUGAGAAGCUCACCGCUGUCCAUAAGCCAGAUCCACCACGGCUGUAUCCACCAUGGUAGAUCCACCUCUACCUCCACACGGAUGUAUCCACCAGGGUUGCUCAUGUGACAGCUCUUAGAGAUCCAGAGCAGCAAGCUAAACUUAGAUAAAAUAGAAAGCAGAGAAGAGAGCUUGCUGGGAUGGGGUUCGGGGCGGCGGGGUGGGAAUGGCUGAGGGCGUGAUGCAGACAGGGUAGAGUAGCGUUAGGGUUCGUAGACUUUUAUUCCACACAUGUGGAUGGUCGGUCGUCAGAUAAAAUGGAU
rnacentral:lncRNA from 1 species